rnacentral:rRNA from 1 species
GAUGAACGCUAGCGGCAGGCUUAAUACAUGCAAGUCGAGGGGCAGCAGGACUGUAGCAAUACAGUUGCUGGCGACCGGCAAACGGGUGCGGAACACGUACGCAACCUUCCUUUAAGUGAGGGAUAGCCCAGGGAAACUUGGAUUAAUACCUCGUAAUAUUUGAGAGUGGCAUCACUUUCUAAUUAUAGCUCCGGCGCUUAAAGAUGGGCGUGCGACUGAUUAGGUAGUUGGCGGGGUAAUGGCCCACCAAGCCUGCGAUCAGUAACUGGUGUGAGAGCACGACCAGUCACACGGGCACUGAGACACGGGCCCGACUCCUACGGGAGGCAGCAGUAAGGAAUAUUGGUCAAUGGACGCAAGUCUGAACCAGCCAUGCCGCGUGGAGGAUGAAGGUCCUCUGGAUUGUAAACUUCUUUUAUCUGGGAAGAAACCCAUAUUUUCUAGUGUGGUUGACGGUACCAGAUGAAUAAGCACCGGCUAACUCCGUGCCAGCAGCCGCCGUAACAC